CGAGGGUAAGCGAAUCACUUAAAGUGCGUCGUAGUCCGGAUUGGAGUCUGCAACUCGACUCCAUGAAGUCGGAAUCGCUAGUAAUCGCAUAUCAGAAUGAUGCGGUGAAUACGUUCCCGGGCCUUGUACACACCGCCCGUCACACCAUGGGAGUGGGUUGCUCCAGAAGUGGAUAGUCUAACCUUCGGGAGGACGUUCACCACGGAGUGAUUCAUGACUGGGGUGAAGUCGUAACAAGGUAGCCCUAGGGGAACCUGGGGCUGGAUCACCU
rnacentral:rRNA from 1 species